GACAGAGGCCCCGAGCGUUAGGCGGAAUCACUGAGCUUAAAGCGUGUGUAGGCGGUCCUUUAAGUCUGAUGUGAAAGCCCACGGCUCAACCGUGGAGGGUCAUUGGAAACUGGGGGACUUGAGUACAGAAGAGAAGAGUGGAAUUCCACGUGUAGCGGUGAAAUGCGUAGAGAUGUGGAGGAACACCAGUGGCGAAGGCGACUCUUUGGUCUGUAACUGACGCUGAGGCGCGAAAGCGUGGGGAGCAAACAGG
rnacentral:rRNA from 1 species